rnacentral:misc_RNA from 1 species
GAUGAAGAACGCAGCGAAAUGCGAUACGUAAUGUGAAUUGCAGAAUUCAGUGAAUCAUCGAAUCUUUGAACGCAUAUUGCGCUCUUUGGUAUUCCGAAGAGCAUGCUUGUUUGAGUAUCAGUAAACACCUCAAAGCUUUUGGAUUUUUUAAUCGAAAAGCUUUGGACUUGAGCAAUCCCAACACCAAUCUUUUUGAGAUCGGUGGCGGGUUGCUUGAAAUGCAGGUGCAGCUGGACAUUCUCCUGAGCUAAAAGCAUAUUCAUUUAGUCCCGUCAAACGGAUUAUUACUUUUGCUGCAGCUAACAUAAAGGGAGUUUGACCGUAUUGGCUGACUGAUGCAGAAUUUCACAAGGGUCGGCAACGAUUCUUGUUAAACUCGAUCUCAAAUCAAGUAAGACUACCCGCUGAACUUAAGCAUAUCAAUAAGCGGAGGA